rnacentral:lncRNA from 1 species
CGUCCACCAUCUCCCAGGAUAUCUAGUCAGGCUGACCCCAUCAUACAAUUAUCAGUCUACACAAUGUUUCAUUUCCCUUUUCCUCAAUAAGCAUCAUCAAUUCACAUUUAAACAAGCAAACAGUAAUUCAUGCCAAACAGACAACAUACAGUAUCAGUUUUUCAGUCAUUCAACCCAUAAUUAAUAAAAACGUAGUAUAUGCACACAAAUCUGUAAAAUGAACACAUCAAACCCCAUAAUGCAUUUAAAGCUGUAAAACAGUGUAAAACAGGCCAAAUAACAGUAAAUCAUCAAUCACACUAGACUCGGG